UACAGAGGGUGCAAGCGUUGUUCGGAAUUAUUGGGCGUAAAGCGCGUGUAGGCUGCCAGGCAAGUUGGGUGUGAAAGCCCUCGGCUUAACCGAGGAAGUGCGCCCAAAACUACCUGGCUUGAGUACCGGAGAGGAUGGUGGAAUUCCCGGUGUAGAGGUGAAAUUCGUAGAUAUCGGGAGGAACACCAGUGGCGAAGGCGACCAUCUGGACGGAUACUGACGCUGAGACGCGAAAGCGUGGGGAGCAAACAGG
rnacentral:rRNA from 1 species